GAAGAAUAAUGCAUGAUUUUGGGGUAAAUGUGAGAUUUUCCAAGAGAAAAGCAAGAUGUUCGGGUUGAAUGGGGGACUUUGCAAGAGAAGUUGUGUGAUUUUGGCAGAAGUGUGAUUUUCACGUUAAAUGGGGGAUUUUCCACAAGAAAAUGUGUGAAUUUGGGGAUAAUGUGGUAUUUUUGAAGAGAUAAUGCAUGAUUUGGGGUAAAUGCGGGAUUUUAGAAGAGAAAAGGCAAGAUGUUCGGGUAGAAUGGGGGACUUUGCAAGAGAAGUUGUGUGAUUUUGGGGAUAAAAGGGGGAUUUUUGAAGAGAAAAUGUGUGUUUUUGGGAUGAAUCAGGGAUUCUCGAAGAGAAAAUGCCUCAUUUUCGGGUUAAAUGGGGGACUUUGGAAGAGAAAUUGCAUUUUCUUCUGGUCAAAUGGGGGAUUUUCGAAGAGCAACUGCAUGAUUUUCGUUUACUUUGAGAUUUUUGUAGAGGAAAUGCGUGAUUUUUUGAAACAUGGGGGACUCUUGUAGCAAAAAAGUUUGAUUUUGGGGUCAAACGGGGGAUUUUUGAGAGCAGAAGUGUGAUUUUCACGUUAAAUGGGGGAUUUUCCACAAGAAAAUGUGUGAAUUUGGGGGAUAAUGGGUAUUUUUGAAGAGAUAAUGCAGGAUUUUGGGGGUAAAUGUGAGAUUUUCCAGAGAGAAAGGCAAGAUGUUCGGGUGGGGGACUUUUUUUUUUUUGGGUUUUU
rnacentral:lncRNA from 7 species